rnacentral:lncRNA from 10 species
ACAAGGUCAGACCACCAGGGAUGCGGCAGUUCUUGCAGUUAGGUAUUCUGUGGUUGUAAAUCAAAGAGUGGCGUGAGUGUCAGUGAAAAGGAGAAGUUGACAGGCCCCUUUGCCAUCUGCCUGUCUUUCCUUCCUCAUUCCCAGGUACCUGAUGCUGGCUGCUGACUCGAUAUAUUCAGCAUGACAAGGAGAAAAGGAAAAAAAAAAAAAAGAAAGAAUUACAGGAGUGUUCAACCCUCUCCCCACCCACCAUCCACAAGUAGAAGGACCCAGUGUCAUUUGUAGCGGGAUAAAUGCACCCCCACAAAUAUAUCCAUGUACAACCACCCUUCCUCAGAAUCUGUGAAUAAGAACUUAUUUGGGAAAAUGGUCUUUGCAGAUGUAAUUAAGUUACGGUUCUCGAAAUGAGAUCAUCCCAGAUUAUCUGGGUGGGCCUUAACUCCAACGCGACAAGUGUCUUUGGAAGAGACACAGACAAGAGAGGCCAGGGGAAGGCCACGUGGAGACAGAGGCAGGGAUUGGGGCGACGCAGCCACGACCCAAGGAAUGCUAAAAGCCACCAGAGGCUGGAGGAGGCGAGGAACUGAAUCUCCGGGAGAGCCUUUGGAGGGGGCGUGGCCCCGCCGCUACCUUGAUUUUGGACUUCUGGCCUCCAGAACUGUGGGGACAUCGAUUUCUGUGGUUUUAAGCCCCCAAGUUUGUGAUGAUUUCUUAUGGCACCCCUGGGAAAUGAAUACACUUUCCUUGCUGCAUGGAUGGAAAAGUGGGCUAAGUGAAAAAAAAUAUUGGAGAAGCCAACAGAAUUUGAAGAAUACUAAUAACUAACAACAAUGGAUUACAUUUAUUGAGUGCUUACCAUGGGCCAAGUACCUGCCCAAGUUAGACAGUGACAGGACUAAAUUUAAACUCAGCAAGUUGUGCCCCGAAGCCCGUGUGCUUAACCAGCCUCCCUGCACUCCCAGGAAAUAGUGGAAGUUAUAUUUGGAAGGGGAAGAGAGAAGUGAGAUCUGAAGGAGAGUUUGAAGGAAUUUAAUAGAGAUUUUGGAGCCAACUGCCAUGGAGGUAGAAAGAGAGAGGAGAAAGUUCAAACAGAGCCCCUGCAAGCGGCGCCGGGAAGCCAGCUCUGAGCUCCACUGUUCAAGCAACUGCUGUUGGCAUCACAGAGGUUUGUCUUGGCCCAAACCCGUCCCGGGAAACACAGAGACGCUCAUGCACUUGGAAUUCGCUCCCUUAAUGAUUCACUCAGCAACUCGGCACAAUUACAAAAAGAAGGUGAAAGAAAGGAAGGGAGAAAAGAAGAAAAGAAAAAGAGAGAAGGAAGGAAGGAAGGAAGAGAGGGAGGGAGGGAGGGAAAGAGGGAAGGGAUAGAGGGGAGGGACUGAGGGAGGGAGGGAAAGAAAGAGAGGAAGGGAGGGAAAGAAGGAAGGAAAAGAAAGGGAGAAAGGAGAGAGAAGGAUGGAAGGAGAAAGAAAGAAAAAGAAAAGAAAGAAAGAGAGAAAGAAAAGGAAGAAGGAAAGAAAGAGGGAGGGAGGAAGGAAGGGAAGGAAAGAGAGAAAAAGAACAAAAGAGAAGGAAGGAAGAAAGAAAAGAGAGAAAGAGAAAGAAAGGAAAAAUCGCCACACCACUGGCUGAAGGUGCCCUCUCCCAAAUUCCUGGGGCAUGACUCAAGUUGGGGCCGGGGAUGGGGAGCAAGAGACAAAUUUUCUGAGAGCUCCCAUGAGGGGACGCUACCAGCUGUGAGCUGAUUGCAAGUGAGAACAAAGCAGCAGCGAUCUGCAAAGGUCUAACUCAAAUGCUGUCUGUUGCACUCCACGAGCUUUGGAGAGAGGUACUAGAUAAAACAAUGAAGUAAGGGGUGUUGCCAAAUAGUCGCCUUACGUUGAGUGCUCAUCAUAUGCCAAUGGUGUAUCCACAUGUUCCAUCUCUUAUCUCGCAGAGUCCUCACAGCAAACCCAGGAGCAGGGUCUUCAGCCCCAUUGCACAGGUGACAGAGCUGAGACCUGACCCAUUCCUAACCUGCCCAAGGACACACAGCUAAAUAGCCAGGGGGUUCCGAAUGUGAAGUUAGGUCUCCUGUGACUCUGUGAUAUGCCCUUGACCACUCUGCCCUCCAGCCUUCAUUUACGGCUCAAUUCCCAAAUGCCACCACCAGGAAUUUGACAUAUACCCGUAACCUCCCCAAUGACAUGGAAAAACUGAGCAGCCAUUCACUCAAUCAUGGAAAAUUUAAGACCCAAGGCGCGUCCUUCCCAGCUCGGUUACUGAGAUGCUCAGCAGCCCUCGGUGCUAGUAAGAAGGGCACACUGGGGCGAAAUGCCACUCGAUGAACAGGAGCCCUAACAUGAAGUCCUCGGACCCUUGCACAGUUUCACUCUUUGCCCAGGCCAGAGUGCAAUGGCACGAUCUCAGCUCAUUGCAACCUCCACCUCCCA